rnacentral:lncRNA from 1 species
AUGAGGACUAAACAGGCUGAUAUACCACGAGCCAGUACCAAGGCACCCCAGAAGCAAGCACGACCUCAUGCACCUCGCGUCCAGCCUUUUUACAAUCCAGGAGAGAAUGAAAGUGAUGUGCCUGUAGCAAGAGAAAUGGAAGAAACAAGAGUAGUAGGACAUGCUACAGUAAAACUGAAGGAGCUGAGCCUGCAGCCCUGUGAAGCUAAGACUGUGAGAAAAAUGAACACUCUUCAGCGUAAGACAAGUAACAGAGACAUCUUUUCUGCAGCCAGGAAAAGUGACAGUCAUCAACAGCAAUGUGGAGGAACGUCUCCUGGUGACUCUCAGGAACUUCAGCAGCCAAUAGUCCAGGUGUGCCCUGCCCAGAAAGAUGUACCUCAGCCUUCAGGUGGUUACAACAAGGAAAGAGAGGAGCUGGAUACAAUGCCCAAACCUCAGAAUGACGUCAGGGAGCAGAUUGUCACAGGAGCAGUGGUAGAAGUGUAAUAGAAGUCAUGUCAAGUGGUGGACUACUGACAAAGCAAGCUUUGCCUGGCUUGCAGUCAAAGCGAAGUUGAGGUUUUUGUCUCCACGGUCAGAGAAACACCCAUAUUAGCACAGGGAAACAAACUGUUGUGCUGUGCAUGUACAACUAAACUUGUGACCUGGUUCUGCAGCCAACAGGGAGAUUUUGGCCACGUCUAUGCUACUAAACUGUCUUAGCUUCCAAAACAAGCAGGUGCGACCAUGCAGCAUGUUGAGAACAGUCCUUGGCUUCUGAUACCUCUAUUAACUCUCUCUAAGACUUGCUGGGAGGAGUGCUAACUGGGUCUGGCCAAAAGCUUUCAGGGAUUAAUUAGCCAAGCAAUUCAACUGUAGAUAGUGGAGUGUCUGCCUGUACCCUGACCCUAUUUAAUAUACUGACACCAAUGUAGUCUUAGAGACAAGAGCAAUGCUGAUUGGUAUUUGUGUGCGUGUACAUAUACAUACAUACAUACAUAUAUAUAUAUAUAUAAGAAUUUCCCCAUUUCUUCCCAUCUUCCCUUUCAAAGAUCUUCAGUAUGUGUGUAAACCUUUUCCUUUUCCUGAGCAAAACCAAAUAAACAUGUAUUCAACUUCCAUUUCAUGAGCAAGUGCUUUCAUGCUUCCCUAGUUAAAUCUGUGCUUAAGAAUAUUUGUUUUGUUUUGUUUUGAAAUAAAAAGUGUUUUGCUGAGUUAGACCUCCACCAUAUCAUUGUUUUCUAAUACCUUUAAAUCACCAGCUUGUUAUGAGCACUACUGUUUAUGAGUGAUAAUAACAAUACCGAUGUACUUCAGCUGUUCAGAGGAUUCCUCCCUGCUUUGCUUAGCUGAGCUGGAAGAUGAGGAACUGUAUUAUACCCUCUCUGUACCAUAAACUUCUUGGUUACAAGGUGCCCCAGUGGCACAAGAUAAAUUUUAUACUCCUGUGCAGGAAAAGUACUGAUGUAGGAAGAUUAAGUUUCUGGCCAAAUCAGCUGUGGAAGAGAAGGUGAGAAACCUUGAUUUGAAAACAAACCAGGCUUCAAGCUGAAGGAGCUAAGAUGCCAGUGCUGGUUGGUGAGCUACUCAGUUCUCUAGGCAGAAAUUUGUCAUUCCAGACUGUAAGCCACGAGAGCCCUAAUGUGUGUAGCAAUUAUCAUCCUGGCCAUUGUAGAAAGUGUCAUUGGCUUCCAAAGUUGUAAAGUAUGUACAUGCACCCUGGGCCUGAGCUGGAGUGAAGCUGUAGAUAAGCCUGUUGCUUAUGUUGUGAACAGUGUGCAGAAAUUUAAUGAGAAAACAGAUUAAAUCUAUGGUGAUAUAGAAAACAGUCUGGCUCCUGUUAUCUGACCCUGCUAUGAUAUAACUUCAUUUAUACUCAUUGAGGAUGCUCUUCACUCAUACAAACUCCCAAGCCAUGCACUAUCUGGGCUUUCUGUGGGUAAGAUCCAGUUGGAUCAGGCUGGAUAAUGAAAGAAUAGUGCUUUAUCCCUGAUUCUCAUCAUCUUUAGUCCAUUCAUGCAAGUACAGCCAUAAUGACCAAUGCACUUGUAUGAUCCCAUCCACACUUCCCAGAUAAUGUAAGUGAAUCCUGUAUGAGAAGUACAGGAUUUAAAAUCCUGCUAAAAUGAUGUCUCCUCUUCUGCCUCUGUAUCUGGAAAGGCUACGUAUCUGCUGUGUUGCCAAGAAGUGGGAUCUGGUUGUUAGCUGUUCCCCAUGAAAUAUCACUGGUUGGCAAUAGCCUGCAGUCAUUUUUCUUGUAGGUGCCUGCAUAUAAGAAAUGGUCAGUAUAGGUUAGUUUGAUAUUCUGUGGCUCAAUUACAUGAGGACUUUUUGAUUUAAUUUAUAUUCCUGCUUUAGUAUGAGAUGAUUUUGGCUCCCAGAGAACCUCCAGUUUAUGAUGGAGUUCAGAUAAAGACAUAAAUGACACACACAUCGGUUAGAUGAACCUCAUCCUGCAAGCUCUAGUGGAUGCAGGUCUGAUGUUAGCCAUAAAAGAAUAUAUAAUGCCUUUCUUUC